GGGGAUUUAGCUCAGUGGCAUAAGCACCUGCCUUGCAAGCAGGCGGUUGUGAGUUCAUUCAAUCCCCA
rnacentral:tRNA from 1 species